GGAAGAUGUAACGGGGCUAAACCAUGCACCGAAGCUGCGGCAGCGACGCUUAUGCGUUGUUGGGUAGGGGAGCGUUCUGUAAGCCGUUGAAGGUGGCCUGUGAGGGUUGCUGGAGGUAUCAGAAGUGCGAAUGCUGACAUAAGUAACGAUAAUGCGGGUGAAAAGCCCGCACGCCGGAAGACCAAGGGUUCCUGUCCAACGU
rnacentral:rRNA from 1 species